rnacentral:rRNA from 1 species
GACGAACGCUGGCGGCGUGCCUAAUACAUGCAAGUCGAACGCAGUGGGGACGGGUGAGUAACCCGUGGGUCACCUCCCAUCAGAGGGGAUAACACUUGGAAACAGGUGCUAAACCGAUACUGAUGGAUGGACCCGCGGUGCAUUAGCUAGUUGGUGAGGUAACGGCUAACCAAGGCCAAGAUGCAUAGCCGACCGGAGAGGAUGAGCGGACACACUGGGACUGAGACACGGCCCAGACUCGUAAGGGAGGAAGCAGUAGGGAAGCUUGGGCAAUGGACGAAAGUCUGACCGAGCAACGCCGCGUGAGUGAAGAAGGUUUUCGGAGCGUAAAACUCUGUUGUUAGAGAAGCGGUAUCUAAACAGAAAGCCACGGCUAACUACGUGCCAGCAGCCGCGGUAAUUC